rnacentral:tRNA from 1 species
AUAGCUCAGUCGGUAGAGCAUCAGACUUUUAAUCUGAGGGUCGUGGGUUCACGUCCCCACU